rnacentral:rRNA from 1 species
GUCUACAACCAUGCCACCCCGAACAUGCUGAUCUCGUCUGAUCUCUGAAGCUAAGCAGGGUUGGGCCUGGUUAUUACUUGGAUGGGAGACCGCCUAGGAAUACCAGAUGCUGUAGGUG